AGCAGCCGCGGUAAUUCCAGCUCCAAUAGCGUAUAUUAAAGUUGUUGCAGUUAAAAAGCUCGUAGUUGAAUUUCGGGAUUAGUACGCUGGUCGUGCCUUCGGUAUGUACUGGUGUUACUGAUUCCUACCUUCUGAAGAACCGUCAUGUCAUUAAUUUGGUGUGGCGGGGAAUCAGGACUGUUACUUUGAAAAAAUUAGAGUGUUUAAAGCAGGCUCGCGCUUAAAUACAUUAGCAUGGAAUAAUGAAAUAGGACGUUCGAUCCUAUUUUGUUGGUUUCUAGGAUUGACGUAAUGAUUAAUAGGGAUAGUUGGGGGCAUUAGUAUUCAAUUGUCAGAGGUGAAAUUCUUGGAUUUAUUGAAGACUAACUACUGCGAAAGCAUUUGCCAAGGAUGUUUUCAUUAAUCAAGAACGAAAGUUAGGGGAUCGAAGACGAUCAGAUACCGUCGUAGUCUUAACCAUAAACUAUGCCGACUAGGGAUCGGAUGAUGUUAAUUUUUAAUGACUCAUUCGGCGCCUUAC
rnacentral:rRNA from 1 species